GACAGAGGCCCCAAGCGUUAGGCGGAAUCACUGGGCUUAAAGCGUGUGUAGGCGGACGCCUAAGUGUCUUGUGAAAUCCCACGGCUCACCCGUGGAACUGCUGGGCAUACUGGGCGUCUUGGGCCAGCUAGGGGCAGCCGGAACAAGCGGUGGAGCGGUGAAAUGCGUAGAUAUCAGGAGGAACACCGGUGGCGAAGGCGGGUCUCUGGGCCGAUACUGACGCUGAGGAGCGAAAGCGUGGGGAGCGAACAGG
rnacentral:rRNA from 1 species